rnacentral:rRNA from 1 species
GAACACCGUUGGUGAAUCGGUUCUCUGGGCCUUUCCUGACGCUGAGGAGAGAAAGCGUGGGGAUCGAACAGGCUUAAAUACCCUGGUAGUCCACGCUGUAAACGGUGGGUACUAGGUGUGGGGUCCAUUCCAGGGGUUCCGUGCCGUAACUAACGCUUUAAGUACCCCGCCUGGGGAGUACGGCCGCCCCGCCAAAACUCAAAUGAAUUGACGGAAUCACUAGUGAAGUCGCAACCCCGGGACUUAUAACUGACCCAUAAUCCA